rnacentral:rRNA from 1 species
GGCUCUUUUAGGGUCCGCGUUGUAAUUUGUAGAAGAUGCUUCGGGUGUGGACCCGGUCUAAGUUCCUUGGAACAGGACGUCAUAGAGGGUGANAAUCCCGUAUGUGACUGGGUGCUUUCGCUCAUGUGAAGCUCUUUCGACGAGUCGAGUUGUUUGGGAAUGCAGCUCAAAAUGGGUGGUAAAUUUCAUCUAAAGCUAAAUAUUGGCCAGAGACCGAUAGCGCACAAGUAGAGUGAUCGAAAGAUGAAAAGCACUUUGNAAAGAGAGUUAAACAGUACNUGAAAUUGUUGAAAGUNAAGCGCUUGCAACCAGACUUGCUCGCUGAUGAUCAUCCGGGCUUUUGCCCGUUGCACUCGUCUGCGCUCAG